rnacentral:lncRNA from 1 species
GAAACUACUGUUUGGAAGUUUAUUUUAUUUGGACGUAAUUCAUUUUUUUGUCUUUCUUUCUGAAAAUGAACGUAAUUCAUUUAUAGCAUCAUUUUUAUAGUGCAAGUCCACUAAAUCCAUCUCAUGGUUUGACAUGUUACAAUAUAAACUGUUUUUUUUUUUUUUUAAUAAUGUUACAAUAUAAUCUUUUAAUCCUUUUGAAAUUAGACUUUAUUUUGAGUUAAGAGUUGGGAAGUGGAGUGAAUAGACCCGGCCCAAGAGACUUGCCAUGCA